UACAGAGGUCCCAAGCGUUGUUCGGAUUUACUGGGCGUAAAGGGUGCGUAGGCGGUCGGAUAAGUCUGAUGUGAAAUCUUCGAGCUCAACUCGGAAACUGCAUCGGAAACUAUCUGGCUUGAGGAUUGGAGGGGAGACUGGAAUUCUCGGUGUAGCAGUGAAAUGCGUAGAUAUCGAGAGGAACACCAGUGGCGAAGGCGAGUCUCUGGACAAUUCCUGACGCUGAGGCACGAAAGCUAGGGGAGCAAACAGG
rnacentral:rRNA from 1 species